CGCGUAGGCGGCCCGGUAAGUCCGCUGUAAAAGUCCAGGGCUCAACCCUGGAAAGCCGGUGGAUACUGUCGGGCUCGAGUCCGGAAGAGGCGAGUGGAAUUCCUGGUGUAGCGGUGGAAUGCGCAGAUAUCAGGAGGAACACCGAUAGCGAAGGCAGCUCGCUGGGACGGUACUGACGCUGAGGCGCGAAAGCGUGGGGAGCGAAC
rnacentral:rRNA from 1 species